AUUGAACGCUGGCGGAAUGCUUUACACAUGCAAGUCGAACGGCAGCACGGGUGCUUGCACCUGGUGGCGAGUGGCGAACGGGUGAGGAAUAUAUCGGAACGUAUCCAAUAAUGGGGGAUAACUAGCCGAAAGGUUAGCUAAUACCGCAUACGCCCUACGGGGGAAAGCAGGGGAUCUUCGGACCUUGCGUUAAUGGAGCGGCCGAUAUCUGAUUAGCUAGUUGGUGAGGUAAAGGCUCACCAAGGCGACGAUCAGUAGCUGGUCUGAGAGGACGACCAGCCACACUGGAACUGAGACACGGUCCAGACUCCUACGGGAGGCAGCAGUGGGGAAUUUUGGACAAUGGGGGCAACCCUGAUCCAGCCAUUCCGCGUGAGUGAAGAAGGCCUUCGGGUUGUAAAGCUCUUUCGCAAGGGAAGAAACGAUACAGUCUAAUAAACUGUGUUAAUGACGGUACCUUGAUAAGAAGCACCGGCUAACUACGUG
rnacentral:rRNA from 1 species